UAAUACACAGGUUUCCUGGCCAGAGCUCA
rnacentral:piRNA from 1 species